GGCAGAGUCGGCUUCCGGGUGCUGGCAAUUCCCAGAGAGCGUGGGCUCUGAGUGACCAGGGCAGGUGUUCAGUAACCCCCUGUGAGUAUUAUUUAAUUUUGUUCCUCCCACAGCCUCACGGUUUAUGUAUGAGUUGUUAUGUGACUGAGUUCUAUUUUUAACUGCAAACAUGCUCCGUUCAACUGGAAUCAUGUUCUUUAGACGCUGCAUUAUGCAAACUGGCUCCAGAGUUUGCCAGGAGUGCUAAACGAGACCGUGACAAUUCUCAGCUGCAGUCACUGGGACCCCCACAGUGGGGCAGUGGUGCUAAGUAACCGUCCAGGUGCCACCCGAGGAGAAAGCCCUGUCUGGCCACUUUUAUCAGCUUCUCUCAUCUCAGGCUCCUGCCUAAAUCCCAGAAUAAAGCCUGUGGGCCUGGGGGGAGGGCAUCCACAAGGCUGCUGGUGAAGAAGAUUAAACUUGAAAUAAAUGGUAAUGAGGCACCAGCAAUGUAAUGCUCAUUGUAAUGUAUCUUCUCAGGUACUAAGCAGGAGCAUCCGUGGUUUAGAUGGAGGCCAUCUGGUUGAGAAGCCACUGUCUGUGUCCUUACCAAGAGGCACUGCCAUUCAGAUGGCUGCACAAGGCAGAAGAUGGAGGGGUCGUCCUGGAUGCCUCCCUCUCGUUUUCUAAUUCUUUGAAUUGGUGGAACACUUAAAAGAGGGUAAGUCUAGAGAUGGCCAGUAUUUGAAGCACACAAAUUUAACAUUUCUAGUAGAGCUAAACUUUAUUUCCAUGUUUAUUACAUGUUUAUCUUUGAUGUUGGAUACAUAUUAGAAUUAACAUACAACUUGGGAGAAAAGCUGGACAUUCUCCACUGAAUGGGUUAAAAAGGAAUGUAAAACUACAAAAUACUUGUUUAAGUGUUGAAUUUCUAAAUUAUGGCAAACAGAACAAGAAUUACCUUGCCAUGUUUCUCUUUCUAGUUUUCCAAGAUGAAUUUCAUUAGAAAAUAUUUUCAUAACAAUUUAUUUCAAGAAAGGAAAUAAGGGAUAAUCAUUAAAACCAUUUGACUUUAAUUAUAGAGUACAAAUAAAGAGUCUUAACACAGAACUCCUAUCUUCUAU
rnacentral:lncRNA from 1 species